GCUGAGUGCAGAGCCUGAUGCGGGGCUCGAUCUCACAACUCUGAGAUCAUGACCUGAGCCGAAAUCAAGUGUCUGCUUAACCAGCCGAACCACCCAGGUGCCCCUUUUCUUUUUUGAAGCAACAAAGCACGAUGUGAACCACUUUUCCACAUACGACUCAGUGACAUGAGGUACGCGCACAGUGUUAGGCACUACGUAGGGUCAUUCCUGUGGUAACCACACUGCGAGCCAGACCCUGGUGACCUGUUUGUUAACCCAUCAGACGCAGCAUUGCUGAGGACACGCAGGCCUGGCGCCCUGGGCUUGGGGAACGUACAGUCCUCCCGGUGUCCCUGGGUCAACGUGGGCCCGGCCCUGUGACUUCUGCCCCAUGAGGCUCCUCACAAGUCAUCCUCGUGCGCACAAAUCGAGAUCACUGGGAGUGAUCUGCAGAGCCAGGACUCCCCAGACAGGGAGCGCCCCCCCAGCACAACCUCUCACCCCCGUGCAAAGGACCAAGGAGAGAAAUUUCCCGCCUCCAUCUGUCUGAAGAACGUCUUCCAUUUUUCUUCUUUAUUGAGUCACUUGACAUUGAACACUGAGUGAGCUCGAGGUGCAAGUGUGUGGAUAUGACACACUUACACACCGUAACAUAACGGUCCACACAGCGUUUGCUGAUGCCUGUGUCCCAUCACUUCCUCACCUUCCUGUGUGCAGUGGGGACAAGUAAGUCUGGUCUCCCAAUGACUAUGAACUUUAUAAUCCGACAUGCU
rnacentral:lncRNA from 1 species